AACGAACGCUGGCGGCGUGGAUAAGACAUGCAAGUCGAACGGGCCCCGAAGUUCCCGUAAGGGAGUUUCGGGGUUAGUGGCGAACGGGUGCGUAACACGUGGGCAAUCUGCCGAGAAGUGGGGGAUAGCUCGCCGAAAGGCGAAUUAAUACCGCAUGUGAUUAGCUAAGACAUCUUAGCGACAUCAAAGGUGGCGCAAGCUACCGCUUUUUUGAGGAGCCCGCGGCCUAUCAGCUAGUUGGGNGAGGUAACGGCCUCCCCAAGGCGAUGACGGGUAGCUGGUCUGAGAGGACGACCAGUCACACUGGAACUGAGACGACGGUCCAGACACCGUACGGGUGGCAGCAGUCGAGUAAUUUUUCUCAAGU
rnacentral:rRNA from 1 species